AUUGAACGCUGGCGGCAUGCCUUACACAUGCAAGUCGAACGGCUAGCACGGGUGCUUGCACCUGGUAGCGAGUCGGCGGAACGGGGUGAGUAAACUCAUCGGAAUGUACCCUUGUAGUGGGGGAUAGCUCGGCGAAAGCCGGAUUAAUACCGCAUACGCUCUGAGGAGGAAAGCGGGGGACCUUCGGGCCUCGUGCUACAAGAGCAGCCGAUGUCAGAUUAGCUUGUUGGUGAGGUAAAAGCUCACCAAGGCGACGAUCUGUAGCUGGUCUGAGAGGACGACCAGCCGACUACUGGGACUGAGACACGGCCCAGACUCCUACGGGAGGCAGCAGUGGGGAAUUUUGGACAAUGGGCGAAAGCCUUGAUCCAGCAAUGCCG
rnacentral:rRNA from 1 species